GAAUACCGGAGAAUGUUAUCACGGGAGACACACGGCGGGUGCUAACGUCCGUCGUGAAGAGGGAAACAACCCAGACCGCCAGCUAAGGUCCCAAAGUCAUGGUUAAGUGGGAAACGAUGUGGGAAGGCCCAGACAGCCAGGAUGUUGGCUUAGAAGCAGCCAUCAUUUAAAGAAAGCGUAAUAGCUCACUGGUCGAGUCGGCCUGCGCGGAAGAUGUAACGGGGCUAAACCAUGCACCGAAGCUGCGGCAGCGAC
rnacentral:rRNA from 1 species